GCUCCCUCCAGCAGACAGACUCCUGGAGACACGAUCAACAGAAUCACAGCGGGAUCACGAGUUUCAGGAAACGACACACAAGAGACUGAACGCUAAGGAACUUACUAACUCGGCUGAAAGAAGAAACUGAGACUCAGGAAGGAGGAGGAAGGGACUUGCCCUGGCCACCCAGCUAAUAACCCCUCGGCUUCGUUGAUGGGCACCUUCACGCUGCCUUUUCACCAAAGCCAUGCCGGACCAGGAGGGUUAAACACAGCCUCCAGAAAGAGGAAGAAGCCGAGAGAGAGAAGGAGGGAGACCAGAGAAGAAACGGUGACUCUCUCUGGGUGGAGGGAUCAGAGUCAAAGAAAAUAUUCUGUGUCUAUGUGUGUGUGCACAAGGCAUCACCAUUUUAAGACUCAACUGUGGGACCUCGCUGGCGGUCCAGUGGUUAAGCAUCCAGCUUUGAUCCCUGCUCGGGGAACAAGGAUCCCACAAGCUGUGGAGCACCUAAGCGCAUGUACCGCAACUAGAGGACCCGUGAGCAGCGGUGAGGAUCUCAGGUGCCACGACCAAGACCUGCCACAGCCAAAUAAGUGAAUAAAAAAUAAAAAGACUCAACUGCCUCUUGCGAUGUCUCAGCAAUUCAGUGUCUGGGAACUGUCAGCAUGUCCGCUUUUCCUGAGACGUGACCCUCGAUCUUCUGGUGUUUGGUGUUUCUGUCUCUGGGCUGCUGGCAUGCCGCGAGAACUAGCCACCCCCCUUCGUUUGACACCUGGCUAUGCCUCCUGCAGAGGACCGCCGUGUAGCCCCGCUCCCUGGCUUUCUCUCCCCACCACGAGAACGCCUGUCCAGAGCAAAGCCCCACAGAGUUAGACACGGAGGCGCCCAAGCCACCAGCCUUCCCACAACCCGUGAUGCAGACAGAAAAGACUGUGGCCAAAACAGGGCUUCUGCCUUCUCCUUUGGUAGGGUGCUCUAGAAACCAGGGUGAGGUGGCGUAAAAAGACCUCUGGAGCCUCAGGAAGUGAGUUCUCCCAACUCACGGUGUCUGUGCCCUUGAACAGGUUCUGAGACACAGUUUCUUCAACUACAUGCCUUUAUCAAUUUUAUUUCUGCAGAGUGAUUAUGGAAAUUAACUAAAUUAAAGGUAACUCCCAAACCACCACGCCCAUACAUAUGUGACAUGCCCAAGUCCAUGAGACUUAUGGCUGUUGUCACUGCAAUACACUCAAUCUUAGCCCAAAGGCCAAGAAGCAAUGGUAUUACUGCAAGUGAAUCAAAGUGAUACAUAUAAAUUCACCUUGGGACAUUCACUUUGGUUUCAAAUCACUUUUUCUCUCUCUCCAUCUCAGUAUAUAAUACAAAAUACUUGCUUCCCCCAAGAAAUGGUUUCUAGGCAGGACCCAUACGGACACCUCACUAAGCGGUCUGUAUUAAAUCUCCAAUCUUGCAUUGCUGGGGAAAAAAAAAAAAGUGUCUCAGUCCCAAGAAGUGUUCAGGUUUUGAGUGAUGUCAGAGGCCUCUGAACAAGCCUUAUAAACGACAUCCAUAUUUGUCCAUUUCUGACUUAAAUUGCUUUUGGUUCAACCGCUGCCAUGAAUUGCCUUGAUGCGGUAUCAUCCAGGAUGACAGAAAACACAGAGGAAGCGGCAAGUUGCUGGCGAGGAUUAGGAAAUAAAGGAGUCACUGCCUCAUCCAGUUCUCCAAGGGUUAGAAGCAAGGAAAAUGAAACUCGCCUUGAAAGGUAAUCUCCAUGAACCGUGAUAAGAGCAGCUGACAUUUUACAUAGCGCAAGCCUUCUAGUUCAGCCUGGCCAUUCCAAUAAAAGCCAUCUACAUACAGCUCACUGUUGCUGUUUUUUAAAUGUUUCUACAUGUUGCUUUGUCUUCUGCUCCUCUCUUCCUGCCUAAGCAGCAAAGAACAAUCUGUUCUGGACCUUCUCGUUAAUAUGAUCUGGGCUCUGGUUUCCAAAGCACUGGAUGAAGGAGCUUCUACAUUUGGAGAAUAACCUCCAUUUCUCUCUUCUACUCUACUUCCCCAUCCAUCUUUCAUCUCUUUCUGCUAACCUCUGACUCUGGUUAAAAAGAAAAAAAAAAAUGUUCUUGGCAAAGGUCCAUCUACUGCCUGGCUCCCUCAGCUAAGAAAUUCUAUUUCAUCUCAGUCCUGUGAUUAGGAAUCCAAACCACAGGGGCUUCGGAGGCAGAACAUAAUUAAGUUGGUCUGAAUUUAGAUACAAGAUCUUGGGUUCCAGCCUCAUCUCUGCCACUCGCCAGCUGCUACGCAUGCCCGCGACUCACCUUCUGCACCAGACAAGCGGUCUAACGCCAUCCACCCAGAGGGUCCUUGUGAGGAUUAAACGAGGUGCUGCCUGCGCAGGGCUCAUGGUGCUCACUCCCUGUCUUUCAAUCUGCAGGCAUGACUACAUGCCAGGAGCAGAGGUGUCUGAAGACACUGAGGCGGGACCCCUCCUUCCCAGAGUCAAGGACGUGCCCAGCCAGAGCUGGUCCAGGCGGGUCCAUGCGCACUGUGUUGCUCUGUCAUUAGCUGCUCAGUUGUGUU